GACGAACGCUGGCGGCGUGCCUAAUACAUGCAAGUUGAACGCAACAAAGACACCAGAGCUUGCUCUACCGUUUUUGUUGAGUAGCGAACGGGUGAGUAACGCGUGGGUAACCUGCCUUAUAGCGGGGGAUAACUAUUGGAAACGAUAGCUAAUACCGCAUAACAAUAGAGAUUGCAUAAUCUUUAUUUGAAAGUGCCAACUGGUACACUAUGAGAUGGACCCGCGUUGUAUUAGCUAGUUGGUAGUGUAAUGGACUACCAAGGCGAUGAUACAUAGCCGACCUGAGAGGGUGAUCGGCCACAUUGGGACUGAGACACGGCCC
rnacentral:rRNA from 1 species